rnacentral:rRNA from 1 species
GUGUCAGCAGCCGCGGUAAGACAGAGGUUGCAAACGUUGUUCGGAAUCACUGGGCAUAAAGCGCACGUAGGUGGUCCGCUAAGUCGAUUGUGAAAUUCCCCGGCUCAACCGGGGAACGGCACUCGAUACUGGCGGGCUUGAGGUCCGGAGGGGUGAGUGGAACUCCUGGUGGAGCGGUGAAAUGCGUAGAUAUCAGGAGGAACACCGGUGGCGAAAGCGGCUCACUGGCCGGAAUCUGACACUGAGGUGCGAAAGCUAGGGUAGCAAACGGGAUUAGAUACCCCGGUAGUCC